rnacentral:rRNA from 1 species
ACGUAGGGGGCAAGCGUUAUCCGGAUUUAUUGGGCGUAAGGGUGCGUUGGUGGUUUUUUAAGCGGGAGGGGAAAGGCACUAGCUUAACUAUUGUAAGUCUUGCGAACUGGAAGACUUGAGUGCAGGAGAGGAAAGUGGAAUUCCUAGUGUAGCGGUGAAAUGCGUAGAUAUUAGGAGGAACACCAGUGGCGAAGGCGACUAACUGGACUGUAACUGACACUGAGGCACGAAAGCGUGGGGAGCAAACAG